GUCGCUGUUACUGGGAGGUCGAGAGGAGAGGAGGGGUUGAUAUAUCAGUGAGUUACAGAGGAAUCAGAAGGAAAGGAGACAGUGAAGACUGUGUUUGGAUUGAAUGAUCAAUCCUGGAGUCUGUUCUGCUCUGAUAAAGAUGGUUACUCCGUCUGUCACAAUAACAGAAGAACACGCUUCACCUCCUCCU